rnacentral:rRNA from 1 species
AGAGUUUGAUCCUGGCUCAGAAUCAACGCUGGCGGCGUGCCUCAGACAUGCAAGUCGAACGAUUAAAGCUCUCUUCGGAGAGUGCAUAAAGUGGCGCACGGGUGAGUAACACGUAAGUAAUCUACCCUCGAGUGGGGAAUAACGUCCGGAAACGGACGCUAAUACCGCAUAAUGCAGCGGCACCGCAAGGUGACAGUUGUUAAAGAUUUAUCGCUUGAGGAGGAGCUUGCGGCAGAUUAGCUAGUUGGUAAGGUAAUGGCUUACCAAGGCAACGAUCUGUAUCCGGUCUAAGAGGACGGUCGGACACACUGACACUGAAUAACGGGUCAGACUCCUACGGGAGGCAGCAGUCGGGAAUUUUGGGCAAUGGGGGAAACCCUGACCCAGCAACGCCGCGUGAAGGAUGAAGUAUUUCGGUAUGUAAACUUCGAAAGAAUGGGAAGAAUCAAUGACGGUACCAUUUAUAAGGUCCGGCUAACUACGUGCCAGCAGCCGCGGUAAUACGUAGGGACCAAGCGUUGUUCGGAUUUACUGGGCGUAAAGGGCGCGUAGGCGGCGUGACAAGUCACUUGUGAAAUCUCUGGGCUUAACCCAGAACGGCCAAGUGAAACUGUCGUGCUAGAGUGCGGAAGGGGCAAUCGGAAUUCUCGGUGUAGCGGUGAAAUGCGUAGAUAUCGAGAGGAACACCUGAGGUGAAGACGGGUUGCUGGGCCGACACUGACGCUGAGUGCGCGAAAGCCAGGGGAGCAAACGGGAUUAGAUACCCUAGUAGUCC